CAAGGUUUCCGUAGGUGAACCUGCGGCAAGGAUCAUUAUCGUACGAUGGGGGUACGACGGCUGUCGCUGACUUUUAGUCGUGCACGCCCGAGUGCUCUCACAUACAAAUAUCCAUCUCACCCCUUUGUGCAUCACCGCGUGGGUCCCCUUCUUCGGAGGGGGUGCUCACGUUUUUAACAUUAAACACCCCAUUCGAACGUAUCGUAGAAUGUUCUUUGCGCGAUCACGCGCGAUCAAUACAACUUUCAACAACGGAUCUCUUGGCUCUCGCAUCGAUGAAGAACGCAGCGAAAUGCGAUACGUAAUGUGAAUUGCAGAAUUCAGUGAAUCAUCGAAUCUUUGAACGCACCUUGCGCCCCUUGGCAUUCCGAGGGGCACACCCGUUUGAGUGUCGUGAACAUCCUCAACCUGCUUGGUUUUUACCGAACCAAGUAGGCUUGGAAUUUGGAGGUUUUCUGCUGGCCUCCUCUGAAGCCAGCUCCUCUUAAAUGUAUCAGUGGGAUCCGCUUUUGCUAGAUCCUCGACGUUGAUAAGAUGUUUCUACGUCUUGGGUUUUGCUCGGGAAGGACCUGCUUCUAACCGUCCCAUCAGGGACAUCGUUCGAGCCGAUCGCCCUUCA
rnacentral:rRNA from 1 species